rnacentral:tRNA from 1 species
ACUUUCAAAGGAUAGUAGUAAUCCAAUGGUCUUAGGAGCCACUCACCUUGGUGCAAAUCCAAGUGAAAGUA